rnacentral:tRNA from 1 species
UCCCAUGUGGUCUAGCGGUUAAGAUUGCUGGUUUUCACCCAGGUGGCCCGGGUUCAACUCCCGGUAUGGGAA